UAUAUUUGCCCAUACAUGUUGAAAUGUCCUGUGGUCUGCCUUCAGCCUCAAUACAUGCAUCCUCAUUUUAAUAGUAAUUAUUUUGAUGGAAGUUGUUGUGAUUCUUCAACACACAUAUUUUUUUGUAAAAUGGCACAGUGUGGGGUGUACACCCAACAUGAGUCAGUUAAAUUUGUUUGCUUUUGCUUCAAAACUAAUUUCUGGAUAAAACUGCACGUACGUGCAUGCAGUUCUGUAUGUUUGUUUUGGUGUGCAUAGCUGCGCUACGAACAAAGUUGUGACUAUAAGCAAUAAGAUUUGAUUCCAUGGGUGGGUAAGAGCGUGUGCAUCAGUGCAGCUUUUGUCUGAGCAUGCAUCUGUGCGUGUGAGCAUGCAUGUGUGUGUUGUGUUUGAGUGUGUAUGCAUUUUGUGGCCUCUGGGUCUUCCUGUGAGUCAUUCUCAUGAGGUAAACCCCAGUAAAGCUGUCCUAGUCCUCUCUAAUUCCUCAUUAGCUCACGGCAGGCUGUCUCAGGGGGAUUUGUGCUGCCUGUGUGAGUGUGUGUCCGGGUGUGUGUUAGUUUGAGCCCAUGCGGUCUGAACGUGGAGAACCACAGGGCCUCUCUGUGGGAGACUGCUGUGAGCCAGGUGUGUGUCCGCUGGCAGGUGCUUGUGUGAGGGGGAGGAAGUGUUUAAACGAGCUCAUUGGGUGGGUCGGCACAGCGGUGCAUUAACUAGAUCACAGUUUGGGAUGUUCUUCUCGGCUUAUAAACUGUUGGUGUAUUAUAGCCUGUUUAAACACUUCUCUGGGACGUUCUCAUGGCGUUAACCCUCACAAAAAAGUAGUCAUGUUAUUAGGUGGUCAUGUUAUUAGUUGGUCAUACUGAAUAAUAAUCAUAUUCAUCAGAUUACUUUUUUAGCAUGUUUUCCUUUGUAAAGGACUUUUGAAACCAAGCAGUUCCUCAGCAGUGAAUGAUGCACCAUUGAAAUCAGAAAUGUUUUACAGGUCGAUGAUGGCAAAGUUACACCUCUAUUUUUAAAUGCACUGAGCUCAACAAAACAGGUGAGCCAGAUUUGUAUAUUCAGUGUUCAUUUGAUAUUAUUCUGUUUGUCUGGUGUGUAAAGGGUUUCUGUUACUGUUUGCUUUUGUCAGGGACACUAAGCCCCCCUCUAACUGGGAUCAACUGUCUGCCUGCAUGGUGGACGAGCUGCAUCCUGCCCACUGCACCCAAUUCACAGAGAAAUGUACUCAAAUCUUACAGUGCUUUUCUCUGGAAGGGGCUUGGAAUGUCAGCAAAGUGGUUGUAAAGUCCAAGUAAAUGCAGUAAACUCUCCUAGUGAAAACUUGUGUCCUGGAACAAGACUGAAACCGGAACAGACCUGAAUAUUCAGUUACAGAUGCGUUUUCAUGCGAUUGUCCAAAAGGGGGGCAAGAAGCUGUAAAUGAUAUGCCAUGAGGAGAUCAUAUUAAUAUAACACACACACACAAGCAUACCAACACACAAACAAACACACACAGACACACUCAAAAAUAAUCUCCCAGUACUUCUGUUGCAUUCCCACAAGAGUCACACCCAGUCAGAACAGUAACAUGAGAGCGUGUUUCACAGGGUCACUGCAUGCAUGGAAAUGACAGGACGCUCCGAGGUGGAAAACAAACCGAUCGAUAUCUCCUCCACCAAACUCAGAGCGUUUGAUUCUUGAGUUCGAUUCAGAGCGAUAGCGGAUCUGAAGCACCCAGGGCAAGUCCCUAACACUGACGGCCCCGGUGGUUCGCCUGAGCGCUGGCACUCUGAAAGGGACAGCAAUAUCCACUGAUGUAAUGUGAGAGAUAGUGAUCUUUUAUGUGCUGCUUUAUAACUUGUGGGCGUAAUGUGAGUUUGGGGGGCGUGAGGGGGUGAUGAAGCAGUGUCGCUGGAAUCCGCAGUGUUGUGAGAGCUUCAUACCUUUCAGCUUCAUUAAACCAAUUUCACGCCGAGGUGAGCUAAGAGAGGAAACUCGGAGUCUCUGCCGCCGUAACAAUGGCGCAUUGAAGGGACGAGGCGAAAGUAAAUUAGGUACCACUUCACAGACGGCAAAUUAAAAUCUGAAAGUUGGAUAGGAAAAGUUGAGGGGGAGAUGAUUAUGUCUUUAUUGUGCUGCUCUCAAUCUAAAAAACCCUACCCAUCCUUUUAGCAACCACCUUUGCCCCCCACCCCCCAAGCCUCUCUGCUCAGAAGAAAUAAUGAUCUAUUUCUUGUGUGGUAAUUGGUUUCUAAGAUGCCCCUGCCAUAAAAAAGCACCGAUUUUGAAUCGUGAAGCUACUCUUAGCCUUCCUUUCAAUCACGUAAUUUGGUUCUUAUCAGUGAGAUAUGAUAUCCUGAGAGAAUCGUAUAAAUUAAACAUUAGUGUGAGUGCUUAUUUUUGUACUGUCAAUGUCAUGUCCAGAGGUGCUCAGAGGUGUGAUGUCUGUCAGGGCCUUUGCGUUAGAACCGAUUCUUCAUGUCCUUUAAUUUUAAGACACUGUCAAUGAAAUUAAAGAAAAAAA